rnacentral:rRNA from 1 species
AACGAACGCUGGCGGCAGGCCUAACACAUGCAAGUCGAACGCCCCGCAAGGGGAGUGGCAGACGGGUGAGUAACGCGUGGGAACGUGCCUUUCGGUUCAGAAUAGGCCGGGGAAACCCGGGUUAAUACCGGAUACGUCCUUCGGGAGAAAGAUUUAUCGCCGAGAGAUCGGCCCGCGUCUGAUUAGCUAGUUGGCGGGGUAAUGGCCCACCAAGGCGACGAUCAGUAGCUGGUCUGAGAGGAUGAUCAGCCACACUGGGACUGAGACACGGCCCAGACUCCUACGGGAGGCAGCAGUGGGGAAUAUUGGACAAUGGGCGCAAGCCUGAUCCAGCCAUGCCGCGUGAGUGAUGAAGGCCCUAGGGUUGUAAAGCUCUUUCGGCGGGGACGAUAAUGACGGUACCCGCAGAAGAAGCCCCGGCUAACUUCGUGCCAGCCGCCGCCGUAA